GACGUAGGGGACGAGCGUUGUCCGGAUUCAUUGGGCGUAAAGCGCGCGUAGGCGGCCACGCAAGUCGGGUGUGAAAUCCCGGAGCUCAACUCCGGAACUGCACUCGAAACUGCGCGGCUUGAGGUAUUCAGGGGAGAACGGAAUUCCUGGUGUAGCGGUGAAAUGCGCAGAUAUCAGGAGGAACACCGGUGGCGAAGGCGGUUCUCUGGGAAUAUUCUGACGCUGAGGAGCGAAAGUGUGGGGAGCGAACAGG
rnacentral:rRNA from 1 species